rnacentral:sRNA from 1 species
UGGUCUCAUGUACCAGAAAUUCCGGAACCAAUUCCUCUCCUUUUCCAUGUACCAGAGCUUCGUGCAGUUUCUCCAGUACUACUACCAGAGCGGCUGCCUCUACCGCCUGCGGGCGCUGGGCGAGCGGCACACCAUGGACCUCACUGUGGGUGAGUCGAGAGUGGCCCUGGCAUCUGGACAUUCUCCUUUCCUCCCAUCCCGGGUCUGAGUGGUGGCGUCCCCUCUGUCCCUGGCCGUCCUGUGCCCUGACCUUCCUCCCCGCAGAGGGCUUCCAGUCCUGGAUGUGGCGGGGCCUCACCUUCCUGCUGCCUUUUCUUUUCUUUGGACACGUAAGUCGUGCCUUUGUGUCCCUGCCUGUCUGUCCGUCCUCUGCGCCGGUUUCGGGCUGCAGCAGGGACUGGGUCUUCUGAGUAAAAUGCCU